GGCGCGGUGGCUUAGUGGUUAGCGCGCUCGCUUCGCGCCUCCAGGGUCAGGGGUUCGAAUCUCACCCACGCUC